GAUUAAUAUCUCUUCUCUUCUCGUAUUGACGUUAAUAGCAAUGAUUUAAUAAUAAAUAGAUACGUUAUAUCUGUAGAUAAGAUACGUUAGUUCUCUCCAUGUAUACUCACUUAUAUAUACUAUAUUAUAAACGUAUAUAUAUUAUAUACGUAACCGAGACCUCUUGGAACAUAAACUGCGCAGUCGCAAUGAGCAAACUAUUGUAAGAUCACGUGUGCUUACGAUCACGAAUACGCUGGUGAAAUUUCCAAAGAUUAAUUCUUUAAAUAUAUACGUUCCACGAAUAUAUUAACUCUAGAAUAGAAUUUUAAAAUUUGAGAAUGAUUGAGAAUACGGAUCAUACGCGUGUUUAAUCGAGUGAUUUCUUCACGAUAAUCAACCAUCUUUGUUUUAAGUAAAUGAAACGAAAAAUGAGACGUGCAUAUUCGAUUCACGGUAAUAAUGAUACGAUCUCGUCUACGUAUUCGAGUGUACUGUAUUUCUGCUGAUCGCAGCGUUGAAUUUACGAAUCGGUGUAUUCCAAAAUGGUACAGUUGCGGCAUAAUAGCCGACGUACGAGAAAAAGAGACAUUUAGUGCACUUAGAUGCGUGAUCUAUCGACCACGGGCACUCGAGCAUCGACGAGUUGGGUGGUACUCCACUCUUUUUCACCGCUUCAACCCAUUUGCCUUGAUCUAUUGGCCUCCUUCGAAUAUAUACGAUUCGCGGAAUGGCCAACGUGACAUAUCUGUUUGCAUCUUUCGUUAAUUGUUAUCGCGAAAUAAAAGGAUGAUAUUGAAUUAAACA